GGUGGAAGACUGUAGAAAAAAAUAUCCACUACGCGCGCGGCACCUAAUCUGAACACGUAAGGAUCAACAAAAACAAUCUAAAGCAAUGAAUAAUGAAGGGCAUGCUCCGUAUGUCCCUUGACCUAUCCUUAAACCCCAAAAACAAGGGAGCUAAUCAAACAUUCCGUAGUAAGGUAUUAUUAAGGAUACGUUUAUUGAUAUCCUUCAUAUGCGCUGAAAUUGAAAAAUAAAGGGUACUGACCAACAAUUGAAAUUAAGUGUGGAUUUCGCCUGCCGUUUAUGACAAGAACGUUUGGCCUGCAGACAGCUAGACGUCGUCGUUUUACUGAUGUUGUGGCGCCAGACCGGUGAAGCUACGAAUGAGUCAGCAAAGUAGGCACUUUACACCUAUUUAAUCAAAAGGUGAAACGAGAUAUUUUAAAAACAAUCAAAUCGAUUAUUUUUACAACCCAGGAAAUGGCCGUUCCUGCUGUCCCAACCCUGCAGCUGAACAACACAGUUAGUCAAAACUCCGCUGAACGUAACAUCCAUAUUGACGAAAGAGAAUUGGAGAACAUCACGAACAACGAUGGAAACGGCACCCUCCCAUUACAUUCUCCGUGGACUUUUUGGCUUGAUAGAUCUUUACCAGGAACAACCGCAGCAGAAUGUGAAUCAGGUCUGAAAAAAAUCUACACUGUGCAAACAGUUCAGAGCUUUUGGAGCGUGUACAACAAUAUACCUGGAGUUUCCAGUUUACCACUGAGAUGUAGCUAUCACUUAAUGAGAGGAGAGAGAAGACCACUCUGGGAAGAAGAGAGUAAUGCAAAGGGGGGAGUUUGGAAAAUGAAAGUACCCAAAGAAAACACUCCUGCUGUAUGGAAGGAGUUACUGUUAGCCACUAUUGGGGAGCAAUUCACUGAUUACUGUGCUUCAGAGGAUGAGGUGGUUGGUGUUAGUGUUAGCAUACGAGACAGAGAAGAUGUUGUCCAAAUCUGGAAUGGAAUUGCCUCGUUUGCUAAUGAAGCAAACGUCCUAGGACGGAUCUAUGAACUUCUUCCACAGAUAACUUUUAAGGCAGUAUUUUAUAAGCCACAUGAGGAGCAUCAUGCCUUCGAAGGAGGUCGCCCAAGACAUUAGCACGCUUUGCACAUUUUACACUUUGUUGUUUUUGGUCUUCGAAAUGGACUGAAUUGUCAGACAGAAAAUAUAAUAGCUGGGGCUUCAUUUUAGGAUGACUGAUAGACAUGUACUUUAGUGUUUGUUUUUUAUACAAAGAUAUUUAGCUAAAACUGAAGAGGACAAUAGUUGAUAAUGUAUACAUAUUUGUUUUUACCACAUUUGAUCUCAACAGUGCAAUUUUACCAGAGCCUUUUAUUUGUUAUCACGGGUUCCAGAUCUCACAAUAUAUGUUCAGUAUGUAAGGGAUUUACAUUGUUACCUUAUUCUAGAAUGAAUGAAGAGUAUUUUCCUCAAGACAGUAAUAUUCAUAUGGUUUUAUGCAAAAAUGUUGCACAUUCUCAAUGUUUUUUUGUUUGGUAGUUUUUGUUGUUUUUUGGGGUUAGGGGAAAGAAAGCUGUUAAAUGUUACUUGUUGUUGGAUUUGUAAAGUGACACCAACUUUUGUACAAAAACAAAAUCAGAAAAUGUUACUAGAAAAAAUAUAUGCAGUAGUUUACCCAGAGUGUUUUUGUAAUAGCGGUGGAUCAUGGACAAACACACUCAAUAUUGUUUUUUCCGAAAUGCACAAGCCUUUUUCAUUUUUACUAUAAUUAACAGGAUCUCUAUUACUGUUUCUUCAGUUCACUGAGGCUAAUUUCUAAGUUGUGCGUGCACAUGUUUAUUAUAAGCUCCAUGAAAGGGAUUUGAUCAAGAAAUAUUACAUUUAUAUCAUGAAUAUUAUUCUCAUUAAAGUCCUACAAACUUUAAAAGAAACCCUUCUUAAAAUAAAUAAAAAUGUAUGCUGUAUGAACCGUGCUUUGAGUUGAAUGAGUACUUCUCUUUACCAAAACCCUUUCUUAACCCUCAGUGGUGUGAGAGUGCAUAUUCCCUGCCAAGCAUUUAUGUUUUGUAACCUAGUAAUUGUUAUCAGAUGCCAUCUCUGUAGUUGAUGAAUGUCCUUCCCUGUGACUCAGGUCAUCCAUGUUCAAACACCAAGAUUGAUUAGUCUCCUAGAGAGAAACGAAUAAUCUUACAGACUGUAUAGCUGGGUAUUGUUGCUGUUUUUAAUGAAAGUAUUUGUUUUAGUAAGAUGAGAUCUCAACUUGAGUCUUUUGAAUGGUGCCUUGUGUUCCCCUCGGGUUUCGUUCUUGAAUGUUGUUUAUUUUCAACAUAUUGAACCAGUCAAAUGUAAAAUAAAUAUUUUUGUCUGAUUUUGAUAUAUGAAAAAAUAAAAAUGCAAAACAUGUA